ensembl:snRNA U4 U4 spliceosomal RNA
AGCUUUGCGCAGUGGCAGUAUCGUAGCCAAUGAGGUUUAUCCGAGGUGCGAUUAUUGCUAAUUGAAAAAAAAACUAGAUGAUG